ACCAAGCCUUAAAAAAUCUUUUUUUUCUACAGUAUCUUUUUUUAACUAUAGUCUUUUCCACAGCAAAGCAGUCAGUGGACCACGGGUUGACCUGAAUACAUCAAUCUCAAUGAAAGAGGACAUAAAUCUCUGGAGUCAAAAAAGUCUGCACCAAGCAAAAAAGUAUCCUAGGAACUAGGCAAGUUGGUUAUUUGGCAUCUUGACAGCCAAUUAGACUUUCAGAAUUCACCAUUCUUUCUUCUCUUCCCUAUCCCAAUUCCUUUCCUAGCCUCCAAUGCACUCAGAAUGCCUCAUGUCCUUCCAAUACAGAGAAGAGGAAAAACUAUUUCAACUUAAUGUGUCAAGGACUAAGAAUACCUCUACAGGCUCCCAGAAGUUUUACAUCUACAGUCCUUCCAAUGCUUAAAGAUAGCUGUGACAUCCAGUCAAGAUGGUGGCUUAGAAGCAGCAAAAGUUCAGACCUCUGAAAACCCUUCCUUACCUAUCAUAAACUGAAUGCUCCUAGG
rnacentral:lncRNA from 1 species